GCCCUUGUAGCUCAGCUGGUAGAGCAACCGCCUUGUAAGCGGUAGGUCGCGGGUUCGAAUCCUGCCGGGGGCACCA
rnacentral:tRNA from 1 species